rnacentral:rRNA from 1 species
UCUUUAAUGGAGAGUUUGAUCCUGGCUCAGGACGAACGCUGGCGGCGUGCCUAAUACAUGCAAGUCGAGCGGGAUUAUAUAGAAGCUUGCUUCUAUAUAAUCUAGCGGCGGACGGGUGAGUAACACGUAGGCAACCUGCCCACAAGACAGGGAUAACGACAGGAAACGGAAGCUAAUACCAGAUAAACCAUUU